ensembl:lncRNA
AGGGAGGGAAGACAGUGAGCAGCUGUGCAGACAGCAGGCUGGGGGCUGGGAAGAAAUGGCUCAGAGACAGAUGGGGGAGCGGCUCAGAGCCCCCGAUGAGUUUUCAUUAGAUGCAAGAGGCAGCCAGAGGCCCCUGUUUGCAGCAGCAAACCACAUGUGCCCAGCCAUGGAGAAGGGGAAAUGGGUGGGCAGCUGGGGAAUGUUCUGGAGGAGGAACACAGGCUCGGUGACUGAACAACCUCCAGGGAGGACACAGGCUGUCGCCCUUUGCUGUAGAGAGGUGAGCUGGGGCGGGGCUCUGACAGGGGACACCAAGGGCGAACGAACAAUGGGCUGGCGGUCUCACGCUUCACAUCGAUGGGUGGGAAGCCAACUCCAGCUCCCGGUGUGGGUGUGGUGAGGCAGAAGGGCAUGGACAGAGCUCUCGAAACCCAUGGGAAAGGGAAGGAGGGCCGCUAAGAGGAACAUAAAAGAUCUCCAGGAACUCAGGCUCCCUGGUGGGGCCCUAGCUUUCCUGGAAGCUCCUCAGGCGAUUAAGGAACCACAGCAGCCUCUGAAGAAGGAGUGGACACUGUCCAGGCUAAAGAGAAGCUCUUUAGAAGAAUGACAAGACAGACCUGUGUUUUCUAACAGCAGCUCUGGAGGAAGAGGACACGUAAAGAGGGAUCAAACUCAGGACCUUGCGCUUUCGAGGCAGGUGCCCGAACCACUGAGCUAAAUCCUUGGCCCAAGACCUCAUCAUUCUUGAUUGAGAAAGAAAACUAUACAACUAUAAAACACUAAAUGGAACUCUUAGAACACAGGCCUGGCUCUCUGCUGUUCGCUGAAGCUGCUCCCUAGUGUGAUGGGUCACACGUGGUUUCCUUCUCACAGGGACUUCUGCAACAUGGCUGCUUGUGACAUCAAGCCCACAGGGAGAGCCCCUGGCUCAGUUUGCUAAGACUGGACUAAAGGAUGCCCAGAAACUGGAUGAAGCAUUAUUUCUGGCUGUGUCCAUGAGGUGCUUCUGGAGGAGAAUGACACUGAAAAGUCAGACUGAGCAGAGAAGACCCGUCCUUACUCAGACAGGAGGUCAUUAUCCCAUCUACAGAGGGCCUGAACAGAACACAAAGGCCAAGCAAGGGGAGUCUGCUUCCAUUUCAGCUUGGCACCAUUUUCCCCUGCCCUGGGACACUGGUGUUCCUGGUUCUUGAGCCUUCAGACUCAGACCGGGACUAGCUUCAUUUGUCCCAGGUUUCCAGGACUCAGACUGAAUGAAACCACCAGUUUUCCUGGCGCUCUGUCAUGCUGUGGGCAGACCGUGGGACUUCUCAGCAUGUGUAAUCAUCAGUCAAUUCCCAUCCUAAAUCUCUUCAUUUAUCUCGGAUUGGGUCAGUUUCUCAGGAGAAUCUGAUUAAUAUAAUCUGUAAGCUCAGUGUUUUUGCCAUUAAGAAAUAAAGAAUGAAGAGC